UAUCUGUGCGGUUUUGUAGAUUUGUAAUGUACCUGUUUAUAUGAGCUGAAAUCCUGAAAGCACUCUUGCUGGCUCAAACGGUAUGCAUAUUUGAAUUUAAGGAUAUAGGAGUUCCUGUCAUAGCUCAGUGGUUAACAACCCCGUCUAAGAUCCAUGAAGAUGCGAGUUCGAUCCCUGGCCUUACUCAGUGGGUUAAGGUUCCAGUGUCACUGUGAGCUGUGGUGUCGGUCGCAGACGCGGAUGGGAUCUGGCAUUGCUGUGACUGUGGCGUAGGUCGGCCCCUGUAGCUCAGAUUUGACCCCUAGCGUGGGAACUUCCGUGUGCUACGGGUGUGGCCCUAAAAAAAAAAAAAGGAUAUAGCUGAAUUGUCACCAAGAAUGACUAACUUCAGCCCAGCCCGGUAUUCUCUCAGCACAGUGAGGAGGCGCUGGUGGUCCGUGGCCCCCUCAGCACAGGGCAUCAGCAUCCAGCUUCAUCUUGGUUCUUCAUUUUACGGAGAGGUGAAUGGCUUGCAUCUCUUUCUUGUAACGUGUAAAACCCGUGGGUGUGUCUGUGGCUGUGGCUGGAAAAUAUCCCUACCCAGACCAAGCUGGCUUCUCUCAGACUCCAGCCCUCGUGCCGUCUCUGGGCUUGUGUCCUGUGCGUCCUGCUGCAGCCGCUCCCACGGCUCCCAAAGAGGCCCUCAAGUAGCCAAGGGCCACAGGCGCUCCCCUUUCUUUCUGUUCAUUCAUUGAUUCGACAGAAGCCCUGAGCAUCUUCCCUGAGCAGAGUAUCCUAUUUGGGGGCUCCCUGUGGCCACACUGGGGGCUUGUUCAGUGGCCUCAGUGCCAAGCCUGUUCAAACGUUCUAAUCCUCUCACUCCAUGCUUUGAAAACUGGCUCAUGAUACACAGUGACAAAUCCCUUUUACACAGUUGUGACCUAGGCUGUGUGCUCAUGCAAACACACACACACUUUCAUGAACCAAAAUUUACUCUUACUGCAUUUUUUAUUCCAUUGUGUUUCAUCUAUUUCAUUUUUUAAAACCUCAGACCAUGAUAAGUCAUGACCUGCAGUGUGGAAACCACAGUUUGAAUUUCCCUAAACUCCAGCCCCGUUCUGAGUGAGGACCCCUCCCCCCCGCCCCAGUUAUGGGAGGGGGGCUUUCCCAGUGUCCAGCGCAGCAAAGGCAAGAGGCUGGGCUUGGAUCUGCAUCAGCAAAGAGCUCUGUUCAGAUGCAUCUCUGUCUUAGUAGCUGCAUCUAAGGCCAUGAGGGGACUAGGGUGGACCUUGGUGACCUGGUCAGGGGGUGAGUGUGGGGAGCCAGGAUGGUGUAGCUUUCUGGAGGCCCGGAGCCCUUCUUUUCUCUGGAGACUGGGUACGGGGAGAGGGCAGCUGCCUCUUCUCCCUUUUGUCCUCUUCCCCUUCCUGUCCCCUCUCAGAGAGAGAUGCCAGUGCUGGUGGUCAUGGCAGCGAACACCUGUCCAGCAUCUGUGUCCUAGGUGCUGAUCUGAGAGCCUUAUGUGAGUUAAUUCAAUGUAAUACAACAAAUCUAUUCCAUUAGCCCCAUGUCGCGAGAGGAAUUUGAGACAGAGAAGCCUGCCCAAGGCUUGUUUUUGUUCAAGCCACGCAGUGGGGCUCUCCCGUGUGGACCUGACCCUUGUGGAAAUUGGAGCUGAUGACAGAAUAGCAGACUCCUUUAACGGAUACGUCUUUCUUAGAGGCAACCUAUUCCCCCCACUUUGCGUGGACUGACCCCCCACCCCCCACCCCCUCCAGGAUCUGCCCAGAGGAAAGCACAGGACCUAAGCAAGCAAUCCGAUUGGUUCCUUCACUGUGAAAGGGGAAGAAAUCCUCUUUCGGGGAGGGGGGAGUGUCACUAGGUUGGUGGGAUGUGCUUUGUGCGGCCAGCAGGUGCUGCGUUUGUCACGUGGAGUGACCCUGUCGUCUAUAUGCAGAAAAGGCUGCUGUUACUCAGGCCCUUGGAUAGAGCUGUCGCCCAAGCCCGACAGGGAUAGCAUUUUGCUCUAAAGACAGUUGGAGAUGCUUUUUCAUCAUCUGCAGCAGGGAGAGGCCUGACCAGCACUGGGGAGUCUGGAAGCUUUCAAAGUGGCAGCGAAGCUUACGCAGAUCGGAUGCCCGCCUUCCCAUCUUUCCACAUUUGGAAAGUGCCAGCUCUCAGGGAGGCAUGGAGCCCUGAGCAGGAUGUCUAGCCUGACGGGCAUGGUGUGUGAUCCCAGGGGGCCUGGGAGCUCUUCUGCAGGUGCCCUCCUGGGGGGGCUGUGCAAAGACCAGGUUACUGCAUGGUCACAGGGUGUUGUGCAAUGAGACUGUAUUUGCUGCAGAUGUGUGGAUGGGAGUCAGAAGCUAUCUCUUGUCUGUUGUUUGAUUACUACUUCUGUGUCCAAAACAACCCCCAGCAGUUCCCAUUGUGGCUCAGUGGGUUAAGAAACCAACUAGUAUCCAUGAGGAUGUGGGUUCAAUCCCUGGCCUCACUCAGUUAAGGAUCUGGUGUUGCCACAAGAUGUGGCGUAGGUCACAGGUGCGGCUUGGAUCUGGUGUUGCUGUAGCUGCAGGGUAGGCUGGCAGCUGCAGCUCCGAUUUGACCCCUAGCCCGGGAACUUCCAUAUGCUGUGGGUGUGGC
rnacentral:lncRNA from 1 species